UACGCACAAUGGAAAUACCACUUUUGAUGAGACAGACUGUCAACACUGCCCCAAAGAUGCAGCACAAAUCUUUAGCUAGAGAACUCUCUGGAACCAUUAAAGAGAUCCUGGGGACUGUCCAGUCUGUGGGCUGCAAUGUGCAUGGCCGCCAGUUCG